UUAGGGUUUUUAAGCUUUCAAGCUCCAUAAUCAAGAAAGACGUGAAGAGUAUAUCAAACGAGGAAAAGAAAAGAUAGUGGAGUAAAGUGCAAAAUUACGAUAUUUUGCACCGAGGUAAGUAAACAUGUGACUUAAUGUAUUAUUUUGACAUUAUUUGACAUAUGUUGAGAUUUAUUUGGAAUUAAAAUAAAUGUUUGGCCAUAUCCUAAAAAUGUUGUUAAAUCGGGAAAGGUGGUAAAGGGUUGCAAUAUAUGGUUUAUGGGUUGAACACUCGGAAUAAGCCGGAGUAUGUUGUAUAUAAAGGGGUUGCUGUGUGCUGAUUCCCCGAUUCAUUGGUGGUGCUAUGUGCGUAUUCCACCAUAUCUUUGAAAUGUGAAAAGGGGGUUGCUAUGUGUUGAUUCCCCCGAGGGAUUGCUAAGUGCUGAUUCCCCGGUUCAUUGGUGGUGCUAAGUGCGAUAUCCACCAUAUCUUUGAAAUGUGAAAGGGGGUUGCUAUGUGCUGAUUCCCCCGAGGGGUUGCUAAGUGCUGAUUCCCCGGUUCAUUGGUGGUGCUAAGUGCGAUAUCAUUGUAUCUUUGAAAUGAAAGGGGGUUGCUAUGUGCUGAUUCCCCCGAGGGGUUGCUAAGUGCUGAUUCCCCGAUUCAGUGGUGGUGCUAAGUGCGAGAUCCACCAAUAACGGUUAACAUUCCGAGUGUUCAACGAAAAAGUGUGGAAGGUGAAUAUUGCCAUAUGGUGGAAAAUUUUAUGGGGUAAAUAUUGAGUUGGACACUAAAUCGAUCCAUGUAUGAGAUGGGAGAAAAUAUUAAAAACGAAAAAGGAACGAUUUAAUUAUAAACUGUGUUGAACAACAGCAGUUGGGUAACUUUGAAAAAUCACCAUAAAUGGUGGAAAAUGAAUGGGAAGCUGAAUAAUAUAUGAAAUUGAAGCUGAAUGUGUCUAUUUUCAUAUGAAAGAAAUAGAAUAAGCAAAAGAGUUGUAUUUUUGGAUAUAUCUGAAUUUUACUGAAACAGGGCUGGAUUGAUUUCGAGAUCCCCUGUUCUAACUUUGGAAAAUUACCAAAAAUUGUAAAAAAAUAAUUAUGGCAUGAAAUUUAUAUCUUUGGAUUCCUUAUUGAUUAUAUUUUUAAUAGAAACAAGAGAAACCAUUUUUCAAAUUUUGUACAGAGAGUUAAGGGAAUUUUUGUGAGGAAGGGUCAGAACCAUUGGGCAGUGAAACAGGGGAAGGUUUAAUGAAUAAACUGUACUAAUUGGCUGGGUCAAAAAUUCUGAAAUUUUUAUGGUGAAAUUUUAUAUGAGUCUAGUUUCAGAAAAAAAUUACGGAACUCAAUUUGGCGCCCUGUAGCUCCAGAUAAAAAUAAAUUAGCGACUAUGACGCAGAAAAACAGUUUGCUGGAAAUUGCCUAAACAAUGAAGUUAUUCAUGAAUAAGUUUAUAUUUUGGUGUAGUUAUGUGAGUAAUUACUUAUUUAUCAUGUGUUUACUUACUAAGCUAUAUGCUUACUCGAUUUUAUUUUUCUCUUGAUUAUAGUGACUUCCAACAACUCGGAAAUUUGGAACGAAGUCAGACAAUCAUCCACACUAUCCUUCACACUUGGGGUAUUUUGCUACUAUCGCUCCGGAAAUUUUAUGGCAUGUAUAGACGACCUAUGAAAUAUGGAAUCAUCAUGUAAACUUAUGUUAU
rnacentral:lncRNA from 1 species